UACGUAGGGGGCAAGCGUUGUCCGGAUUUAUUGGGCGUAAAGAGCUCGUAGGCGGUUCGGUAAGUCGGAUGUGAAAUCUCCACGCUCAACGUGGAGGGGCCAUUCGAUACUGCCGUGACUCGAGUCCGGUAGGGGAGUGUGGAAUUCCCGGUGUAGCGGUGAAAUGCGCAGAGAUCGGGAGGAACACCCGUAGCGAAGGCGGCACUCUGGGCCGGUACUGACGCUGAGGAGCGAAAGCGUGGGGAGCGAACAGG
rnacentral:rRNA from 1 species